UGCAAUUUGAUUUCAUUUGUG
rnacentral:siRNA from 1 species